rnacentral:rRNA from 1 species
CAGAGGUCUCAACCGUUGUCGGAUUCAUUGGGCGUAAAGGGUGCGUAGGCGGCGGAGUAAGUCAGGUGUGAAAUCUCGGGGCUCAACCCCGAAACUGCACUUGAUACUGCUUCGCUCGAGUACUGGAGAGGAGACUGGAAUUUACGGUGUAGCAGUGAAAUGCGUAGAUAUCGUAAGGAAGACCAGUGGCGAAGGCGAGUCUCUGGACAGUUACUGACGCUGAGGCACGAAGGCCAGGGGAGCAAACGGGAUUAGAUACCCCGGUAGUCCUGGCAGUAAACGGUGCACGUUUGGUGUGGGAGGAUUCGACCCCUUCCGUGCCGGAGCUAACGCGUUAAACGUGCCGCCUGGGAAGUACGGUCGCAAGAUU